rnacentral:rRNA from 1 species
UACGUAGGGGGCAAGCGUUGUCCGGAAUCAUUGGGCGUAAAGCGCGUGUAGGCGGCUAGGUAAGUCCGUUCUGAAAGCCCGGGGCUCAACCCCGGGAGGCGGAUGGAUACUGCUUGGCUCGAGUCCGGAAGAGGCGAGUGGAAUUCCCGGUGUAGCGGUGAAAUGCGCAGAUAUCGGGAGGAACACCAAUGGCGAAGGCAGCACGCUGGGACGGUACUGACGCUGAGACGCGAAAGCGUGGGGAGCAAACAGG